CGUGUCGUCAGCUCGCGUCGUGAGAUGUUCGGUUAAGUCCGCUAACGAGCGCAACCCUCGUCGUAUGUUAUAUGUGUCAUACGAGACUGCCGGUAAAAGCCGGAGGAAGGUGAGGAUGAUGUCAAGUCAGCAUGACCUUUAUAUCCAGGGCUACACACACGCUACAAUGGUCUGUACAAUGGGUAGCCAAGCCGCGAGGCGGAGCCAAUCCUGAAAGCAGGCCUCAGUUCAGAUUGCAGUCUGCAACUCGACUGCAUGAAGCCGGAGUUGCUAGUAACCGCAGGUCAGCAAUACUGCGGUGAAUACGUUCCCGGGUCUU
rnacentral:rRNA from 1 species